rnacentral:rRNA from 1 species
UACGGAGGGUGCAAGCGUUAUCCGGAUUCACUGGGUUUAAAGGGUGCGUAGGUGGGCUGGUAAGUCAGUGGUGAAAUCUCCAGGCUUAACUUGGAAACUGCCAUUGAUACUAUCUGGCUAGAGGGUUGGAGGGGGGACUGGAAUACUUGGUGUAGCAGUGAAAUGCGUAGAUAUCAAGUGGAACACCAGUGGCGAAGGCGAGUCCCUGGACAACUCCUGACACUGAGGCACGAAAGCUAGGGGAGCAAACAGG